UCGGGAGGCAGCAGUGGGGAAUAUUGCACAAUGGGCGCAAGCCUGAUGCAGCCAUGCCGCGUGUAUGAAGAAGGCCUUCGGGUUGUAAAGUACUUUCAGCAGUGAGGAAGGUGGGUAUGUUAAUAGCAUACUCAUUUGACGUUAGCUGCAGAAGAAGCACCGGCUAACUCCGUGCCAGCAGCCGCGGUAAUACGGAGGGUGCGAGCGUUAAUCGGAAUUACUGGGCGUAAAGCGCAUGCAGGUGGUUUGUUAAGUCAGAUGUGAAAGCCCGGGGCUCAACCUCGGAAUUGCAUUUGAAACUGGCAAACUAGAGUACUGUAGAGGGGGUAGAAUUUCAGGUGUAGCGGUGAAAUGCGUAGAGAUCUGAAGGAAUACCGGUGGCGAAGGCGGCCCCCUGGACAGAUACUGACACUCAGAUGCGAAAGCGUGGGGAGCAAACAGGAUUAGAUACCCUGGUAG
rnacentral:rRNA from 1 species